rnacentral:lncRNA from 1 species
GGCGACGAAGUCCUUGAGGCCGACCUCGCCGCCGGGGAAGCCGCCGGUGAGGCCCAGGAGCUCCUUCUCGAAGGCGUCCAGGUCCACCGCUGGUGGGGCGGCCUCCGUCGGCGUGGACCCUGUGGAGGACUCGGGCGAGGAGACGGUGGUGGAAGGAGGAGGGGUGGAGGCGAGUUCCUUGCGGACGCCGACCUCGCCGUUGCAGAGGCCGCGGCCGCCGAGGAUUUCGGAGACGCGGAAGGAGGCGGAGGGAGGCCGGCAGAGCAGGCGCAGGUGAGGGCGGUGGGGUAGCGGUGGCGGGCGGAGGAAGGAGGGCGUGGUGGGCGGCGGCGCCAUUGGAGGAGUGGAGAGGAUCGCCCGCGAGCGGAGCAGAGCAAGGCAAGGGAGGGAAAGA